UCAUCGUUGAAGGUCAAGAAACUUAUAAUAACAUUCCACUGUCAUCGAAAAAUAAAGAGGAUGUGAAAUUUUGUAUGAGCGAAUAUAUUUUUCAUCUAUAUAAAGGAGAUAUUGAAGCAUUGGAAAAUAACAAUGCAAAGAACUACAACACACAUAUUCAAAGAAAAGAAAAUCAAGAGAGAAAUAUUGAGAACACAAAGUUGAGAGGUUGUUCAUAAAGAAGAAAGUCGUUAUCAU